rnacentral:lncRNA from 1 species
CGGAUGAUAGGGAUUUUGUAACAUACCAGAUUUUGGUAUAAAAAUAAAAAUAAAUAAAAAUAGUGUGAGAUACUAUUUUUAUUGAAUUUAGAGGAGUAAAAUAUAAGUCAGAAGUGACUUGUGCUGAAAUCGGAAUGAAAACAGAAAAUCUAGAAUUUUCUGUUGGAAACGAGACAGAUAAAUUAGCAGAAAAUGCAGUCUCAGAAAAUUAUAAAAAUUGGAGGUAAGUCAGAAAUAUUUUUAUGAGACUAGAUUUAAAGUUUCAUAUUUUUCUGACACCCGGAAGGUGGAAAAUAAAAUUCGACAGCUAUCUAAUAAAGAUUACAGUUCGGUACAGUUUUCGGUGACCAAAUGGGGUCGAAAUUGAAAAUUUAAAAUAUAUUCUUACUCAGUAUGUUAAACUGAGCAUGUCUGUCAAAUUUGAGCUCAAAUGGACAUUCAGAAGGGCUCC